rnacentral:rRNA from 1 species
UACGAACUGUGCGACCGUUAUUCGGAAUCACUGGGCUUACAGGGUGCGUAGGCGGCUCACCAAGUCAGGUGUGAAAGCCCCCGGCUCAACCGGGGAACUGCGCUUGAAACUGUUAGGCUCGAGUCAGCUAGAGGUACACGGAACUUCCAGUGGAGCGGUGAAAUGUGUUGAUAUUGGAAGGAACACCGGAGGCGAAAGCGGUGUACUGGGGCUGGUCUGACGCUGAGGCACGAAAGCCAGGGGAGCGAACGGG